GACGAACGCUGGCGGCGUGCUUAACACAUGCAAGUCGAACGGAAAGGCCCUGCUUUUGUGGGGUGCUCGAGUGGCGAACGGGUGAGUAACACGUGAGUAACCUGCCCCCGACUUUGGGAUAACUCCAGGAAACUGGGGCUAAUACCGGAUAGGAGCUCCUGCUGCAUGGUGGGGGUUGGAAAGUUUCGGCGGUUGGGGAUGGACUCGCGGCUUAUCAGCUUGUUGGUGGGGUAGUGGCUUACCAAGGCUUUGACGGGUAGCCGGCCUGAGAGGGUGACCGGCCACAUUGGGCCUGAGAUACGGCCCAGACUCCUACGGGAGGCAGCAGUGGGGAAUAUUGCAGAAUGGGCGGAAGCCUGAUGCAGCAACGCCGCGUGCGGGAUGACGGCCUUCGGGUUGUAAACCGCUUUGGCCUGUGACGAAGCGUGAGUGACGGUAAUGGGUAAAGAAGCACCGGCUAACUACGUG
rnacentral:rRNA from 1 species